AUACCUUUCUCUCUCUCUCUCUCUCUCUUCUUCUUCUUCUUCUUCUUCGUCUUCUUCUCU
rnacentral:sRNA from 1 species